GGGCCGCCUGCGGAAGCGAGGCGUUCCCCGAGGAUGAGAGUGCCCAGUGGGCCACUUUUGGUAAGCAGAACUGGCGCUGCGGGAUGAACCGAACGCCGGGUUACGGCGCCCGAUGCGAGACGCUCAUGAGACCCCAUGAAAGGUGUUGGUUGCUCUAGACAGCAGGACGGUGGCCAUGGAAGUCGGAACCCGCCAAGGAGUGUGUAACAACUCACCUGCCGAAGCAACUAGCCCUGAAAAUGGAUGGCGCUCCAGCGUCGAGCCCAUACCCGGCCGCGGUCGCAGACAACUCUGUGGUUUAAGCGACCGCGAGUAGGAGGGUCGCGGCGGAGUGCGUCGAAGGUGCCGGGCGCGAGCCCGCCUGGAGCCUCCGCCGGUGCAGAUCUUGGUGGUAGUAGCAAAUACUCGAGUGAGAACCUCGAGGACCGAGGUGGAGAAGGGUUCCAUGUGAACAGCAGUUGAACAUGGGUCAGUCGGCCCUAAGGGAUCGGAGAAAUCCGUUCCGAAGGCGGGGGUCUUUUUUUAAGCAAGCCCCCGAGCGACCGAAAGGGAAUCGGGUCAAUAUUCCCGAACCCGGACGCGGAGAUCGAAGCUUCGGCUUCUAUCGCGGCGACGCAACCGAACUCGGAGACGUCGACGGGAGUCCCGGGAAGAGUUUUCUUUUCUUUGUAAGGGCUCGGGUCCCUGGAAUCGGCUCGUCCGGAGAUAGGGAUGCUGACGCCCGUAAAGCGCCGCGGCUCUUGCGGCGUCCGGAGCGCUCCCGUCGGCCCUUGAAAAUCCGAGGGAGGAGGUGUGAUUUUCGCGCCGGGCCGUACCCAUAUCCGCAGCAGGU
rnacentral:rRNA from 1 species